GUCCUCAGGAGAAGUGCAAUGAAAAUGGCUGCUACUGCAUCUCAGAAGGUGGGAACAAAACGUACCACUGUGUAGAUGACAACUCCUGUCUGCUCCCCAGGUCCAGCUGCUGCUCUGGAGAUUUUGUGUUUGAUAAUACCACCAAAUGCUGCGAAGAUGUUUUGGUAAUAAUUCCAGCUACCAUUAGCUCCCCUAGCUCUGCUGCUUUAGUGACAAAUGCUGCUAGUGACAGAAUCAGUGAAGCAGGUUUCUUAUUCCUUCUUUUGUUCUGGAGCAUGAUGUGAGCCAUGACAAGACAGAGUACCUCCUGCUCCUCUUUAUUGUUGGCUCAUAAUCUGUUUUUACUAAUGUGUAGCAAACAAUGUGCUGUAACAGCUUAUAUAAGAAAGGACUAUCAGUUGUGACUAUGAAGAUUUUCCUUCAUCCAGCCCCUUUAUCGUCAACGCAACCCAAUUUAGGAGGUUUCUACAAUGCUCUAACACCUUUUUAUCUGCAGCAAAGAAGUGUAUAGUGCAGAUCCCUGUAGCAAGUAUGGAUAUGUUCAUGAUUUCACUACAGGCUUUUUUUAGUUGACCAUUGGUUUGCAUCUGAGGAAGCAAUGGAAUGUUUAAAGCACAUGGUUCCUUAAUAUACAUG